AAUGCACUAGUGAAACCCAAUGCCAACGAUGCCCAAGUCCUCAUGUGGCGACCCAAGAGAGGCCAGCCUAUUGUCGGUAUUUUGGCUGGAAAAGAAGCUUUCUUACCAGAACAAUUCAUAUUCUCUUGCAGUAAAAUGCAAGGAGCAAGAAUAUGAUCAAACAGUGCCUGUGGCAAAUGCUGCUUCCCAACCAAUUUAGAUGUAGAAAUGGAGACCAUGCCUACCAAUGGCGUUUCUGUCUCCCUAGCUUUGGAUUUCCUAUGGCACCAUUGAAUUCAAGCUCUCUACAAUAAAAUAUGAAGCAAACAAGAACAUGUUGCAGGGGAGGCCCUUCAGCUCUGAAGGUAUCCAGAGCUAUGACAACAGACAGCUGUGCCUGUCGCUGAGUUCCACUGGCAGCAUGAAAUUACCACCCUGAAAGCAGCUCUUGAAGCAGUGCCAGCUGCCCAGAAGCAGGAAGCACCAUGAGCCUCACAAGAGAGCCUGUUCUUACUCGCUGUCUAGGCAAAUUGAUGUUGAGCCUGGAGUGAGAAUUUAAAACCAUUGCCACUGAAAGCCACAUGCCUGCCUGAGACCAUUUAGAGCUGUGCUGUGGCAACUGUGCAUUGAAACCCUGACGCCUGUCGCACACCCUUUAUGCCAAGGGUGUCAAACUAGUUGGGCCUCAUAGGCCAGAUCCAGAUCAUAAAGUGUCCUGCAAGCCAGAUAACCUGUGAGUGAUAGUGGUGGCAUUAAUCUCCUCACUGUUUUGGUGUGCCUCUGCUGCUUGCCCCUUCUUUUCCCCUGCUGCUGAUUUUAGUCACCAGGGAUGACUAAAAACCCCAACUGUGGCAGCACAUAAGGACUAGGGAGUAAGGGAGGCAAACAGUGUUAACUCCUGAGUUCUGAAGCUGUGGUGAAACAGCAAGGAUUAAUGCCACCACCACAAGGACUCUGGCAGCUCGUGGCAUUGAGUCCUAUAGGCCAUAUCUGGCCCACAGAGAUGUGUUGUCCAUCCCAUGA